rnacentral:misc_RNA from 1 species
UUGGCUUUUUGCUUGUGCAACAACUUUCACCUGGCAUACCUUGCAUUCAUAUGUUACGGCUUUUCUCGCCUGACUAAAUUGUGGGUUUCUUCUGUUUUGUAUGCCUCUCACAUAAGGCAUCUUUUUCGGUUGCAUCAGGUUCUUUCGUCUCGUGUCAUGCUCAUGACAUCAGAUUAAACCUUAAUGCUGUUUCUUUGAACCACAACAUUAACUGGUGUGUUGAUGUAGUGGUGUAUUGAACAUUGCUUGGUCUCUUUAAUAUAGAACAUGAUAUGGUCAUGGGUCGCAUGUGAUCCUUGUUAUGUCCCAUUUUAUGUAGUUAUUUACUACUUUACCUAAAAUGACUGCUCAACUCACAUAGGUUUAUACUAGUGCGUUGUGUUGAGUCUAACAUUGAAGUUACCUGGUUGAUCCUGCCAGUAGUCAUAUGCUUGUCUCAAAGAUUAAG